GACGAACGCUGGCGGCGUGCCUAAUACAUGCAAGUCGAGCGAGCGGAACCAGCAGAUCUGCUUCGGCAGUGACGCUGGGAAAGCGAGCGGCGGAUGGGUGAGUAACACGUGGGGAACCUGCCCCAAAGUCUGGGAUACCACUUGGAAACAGGUGCUAAUACCGGAUAAGAAAGCAGAUCGCAUGAUCAGCUUUUAAAAGGCGGCGUAAGCUGUCGCUAUGGGAUGGCCCCGCGGUGCAUUAGCUAGUUGGUAGAGUAACGGCCUACCAAGGCAAUGAUGCAUAGCCGAGUUGAGAGACUGAUCGGCCACAUUGGGACUGAGACGCGGCCCAAACUCCUACGGGAGGCAGCAGUAGGGAAUCGUUCACA
rnacentral:rRNA from 1 species